CAAACACGCAUGCGCAGUAAAUAUAAUGUUACGCGCAUGCGCGGUGGUGUGUUGUUGUUGGUGAACAAUCGCACGUGCUUUGGUAUUUCAAGAAGAAUCUGCCGAAAAACGAUGGAUUAUUUAACAACAGUGAUUGUAUAAAGAUUUGACUGGAUUUGGCAAGAUGCCCUUGCUCAUUAAAGAAGAUGGAGAUGUGGCUUUCCUCAGACUGUCUCUGACAUGCCAGCUUUUUCACCAUGUUGUUAGUGAAGCAUCUUUCAGAGAAAAGGCUCAUGUUGUCUGGCUUGACAGUGUUGUCAACUGGAACACAUUCUCCAUGGUGUAGAGAUUUAUUUACAGACUGUCCACCUGGUCGAGUUGGAGGAAGGGUGUCCCAGGGACGAAUUGUUCAUCUAUUCUGCAUCAGUAAAGCAGUGGUGGCGUGGCACUGACCUUAAACUAUUUAAGAUCAAACUGUGACAAAAGCUUUACCUGACCUUACUGCAGUCAGUUAUAUGUGACCCUGCCUGUGAAAAAACAGGAUAAGUCUUGAAAUGUAAUUAUGAUAUAUUGAGCAUCAAAGUGUUAUUUUCAUUAAUCUCACAUUGAUUUUGAUAUUUGACCAGUGGCGGCUGGUCACUAGGGGGCGCUGGGGCGCCGCCCCCUUAAAGCUGGCCAGAGAGGAAAGCUACUUUGACAUGUUACCAAAAAAGUUAAAUAUAUAGUGCAAAUUAAUACAAAAUAAAUUCAUUUAGUUGUACUAUUUCACUGUUAGUCAUGUUAUAAUUGAUUUAAAACAAUUAAAAAUCAAAACUGA